GACGACUGGGAGACGUGGGCAAUCGUCGGGCUCUCCGGCAAUCCGGACCGGACGGCGUUCCGGAUCGCGGAGUUGUUGC
rnacentral:tRNA from 1 species